rnacentral:rRNA from 1 species
CUACGUGCCAGCAGCCGCGGUAAUACGUAGGGGGCAAGCGUUAUCCGGAUUUACUGGGUGUAAAGGGAGCGCAGACGGCAAUGCAAGUCUGAAGUGAAAGGCGUGGGCUCAACCCAUGAACUGCUUUGGAAACUGUAUAGCUUGAGUGUCGGAGGGGUAAGCGGAAUUCCUAGUGUAGCGGUGAAAUGCGUAGAUAUUAGGAGGAACACCGGAGGCGAAGGCGGCUUACUGGACGACAACUGACGUUGAGGCUCGAAGGCGUGGGGAGCAAACAGGAUUAGAUACCCUGGUAGUCCACGCAGUAAACGAUGAAUACUUGGUGUCGGGGAGGUAAACUCUUCGGUGCCGCAAGCUAACGCAUUAAGUACUCCGCCUGGGGAGUACGCUCGCAAGAGUAAAACUCAAAGGAAUUGACGGGGACCCGCACAAGCAGCGGAGCAUGUGGUUUAAUUCGAAGCAACGCGAAGAACCUUACCUAAACUUGACAUACCAAUGACAGCCUU